UACGGAGGAUGCGUGCGUUAUCCGGAUUUAUUGGGUUUAAAGGGUGCGUAGGCGGAUUUGUAAGUCAGCGGUAAAAAUGCGGUGCUCAACGCCGUAUCGCCGUUGAAACUGCAGGUCUUGAGUACAGUAGAGGUGGGCGGAAUUCGUGGUGUAGCGGUGAAAUGCUUAGAUAUCACGAAGAACUCCGAUUGCGAAGGCAGCUCACUGGACUGCAACUGACACUGAGGCUCGAAAGUGUGGGUAUCAAACAGG
rnacentral:rRNA from 1 species